rnacentral:lncRNA from 1 species
CACUGCUGCUAUAGAAGCUUAAAAGUGCUUGCCAUCUUCAGCCUCUCCUUCCCCAGAGACUGCAGCCUCUCACCUCUUGCCUUCUUUUACCCUUUACCUUGUUCUUCCUCUCAGCUUCUUACCAGCCUAUGUGGUAAACAUCACUUUUUGCAGCUGUAAAUGUCACACAACGCUGCCCUUCCUGCCUGCCUGCCCCUUCACCUCCAAAUGCUAUCAAUGUGCUACUCUAAUUCUACUAUAGGUCAUCCCAGUCUGGUUUUUUUUGUCCUACCCAAUGUGUUUUGCAGUUACAUCCUGUCCUCCAUGGAUGUGUUCUGGCUGUUGUCUCCUGAUUCCCUUUCUUUCAUGUCCUAAGGCAGAAGGAUGCUGUCCCUUGGAGCUUUUCUCUUCAAUGCCCCUCUGAGUGAUGUCAGCCCAAACACAGCUUCAGCUAUUAGCUUCUUUCUCCCCACAGCUAAAAUAAGUCAUGAUGCAUGCUCAUUACAGCCCUUGGUGGGUACCUAGCCUUGGCUAACCUGUUUGAUCAGAACCAUCUGUAUCAUUGUAUUUCUUGUUACUCAGACCUGCAAUCUUGGUUUCCUACAGUUUGGCCCUAAUGUUCUGGUUUUGUCUAAAUAUUUUUAUUCCUGUCUGCACUGUGUUUUCCAAACAAGAUAUCCUGUCUCUUCACACUCUUGUACCAUUUUCCUGGUCUCAGUCAUACUGUUCCCACAACUGAGUUGGCCUAUUUUCUGAUGGUAGCCAUUUACUAAUCAGUUGUUCAAACCUUCUUCCCUCCCUGUUCGUUACUCUCUUAUUCCUUCUUCAGGUCAUCUUAUUGUCUCACUGCUGUGUGAGCAGAAAUCCCCUCAGACUCUUCUGUAGCUUUGUUCAGCCCUGCUUGCCUGGCUUUUUGGCUUCUGAGGUAAUGGCCGCUCCCUUGCUGAAGGAUAACGUGGCUGCGGUGCUGCUGCCCUCCCCAAUGCCUGGCAAAGGAGGCAGGUGGUCCUGCCUGUGUCCUGAUGGCUGAGUUUGGGGACAUGUGUGCAACCAAACCUACUGGCUUGGUGACACCAUCCUAAAGCUGUCAUCCGUGCUGAUCCCCGCCAUGUAACCUCACUCUUCUUCAUGGCUCAGCAUCCUCCUCGUGCUGCAGGAGAGUCUCAGCACAUGGGUUUUCAUUUCUUGGAGUAGCAAACAUCCAGUUUGCCUUCUUGGCCUAGGUGCUUGGAGCCAGCUCCUUCUCUAAGUCACCCAGUGACCAUCCAGUGAUCUUCUCUGAGCCCAUGUUUCCACAGCCCAGCCCACUCAGUAGAAAUGUUGGAGGUUCUGACUUGGAAAUAGCGAUGCCCUGAUUUGGGCAGCUGAUGAAAUU